CGGGACGGGUGAGUAAUGUCUGGGAAACUGCCUGAUGGAGGGGGAUAACUACUGGAAACGGUAGCUAAUACCGCAUAACGUCGCAAGACCAAAGAGGGGGGACCUUAGGGCCUCUUGCCAUCGGAUGUGCCCAGAUGGGAUUAGCUAGUAGGUGGGGUAACGGCUCACCUAGGCGACGAUCCCUAGCUGGUCUGAGAGGAUGACCAGCCACACUGGAGCUGAGACACGGUCCAG
rnacentral:rRNA from 1 species